GAAGCAACACCGAGGAGCAGGUAUGGGAUUUAGAAGAAUUCCUGUCCAAAGGGACUGAGGACAUCAAAGCUGUCAGAGCAGGAGGAGAAUAUGGUGGUGUGACGCAGCUCACAGCGGCCACUCCAGUGGUGAUGUCUGUUAUUUGUCAAGUAGGAUGCCGUGUACAAUCCUGAUUUGAUGGAGACGGAUGUGAGAGCACGGAGGAACAUCUGGUGAAACUUCUGAAAUGCCUGCUUCGCUGCUGCUGCUACUGAGUGAUCCAGAAUCUCUGGAGGAGAAGGCCCCGAGUCCUCAGCUUUGCUCGUUGCUCGGCGGCCAGGGCGGGGUCGAAGCGCUCAGCAGAGGAUAGUGCUCGGAGAGGCUGCGUCGGAGGGGCUGGUCGGAGGCUCAAAGUUUUCAGACGGACUCAGAGUCCGCUGCGGUCGGGUGCUUCCAAUGGUGCUGCAUCGGCAAGUUGGCGGCGCUUGGAGGUUCAUGGAAGGGAGAGCUUCUCCUUUCUGCUGCCUGUGUGAGAUGAUGAGUCUAUUGGGACUUUGAGACUUUUUUUUACCGUGCCCAUGGUCUGUUCUUUAUCAAAUUAUGGUAUUGCUUUGCACUGUUGUAACUGUAUGUUAUAAUUAUGUGGUUUUGUCAGUUUUAGUCUUGGUUUGUCCUGUGUUUUUCUUGUGAUAUCAUUCUGGAGGAACGUUGUAUCAUUUUUUAAUGCAUGCAUUUCUAAGUGAAAAUAAAUAAGGACCGAGUGUCCUCAUAAUCUAAUCUAAAUCUAAAAAUCAAUGAAACUACAUUGCAUGACAAUGAAGUCCUUCUGAUUU